rnacentral:SRP_RNA from 1 species
GUGCGGGCCCUGUGCAACAAAACACCGUGAACCAUGUCAGGCGGGGAACCGAGCAGCAUUAAGCGGUCAGUUUCGUGUGCCGCAGCGAGCCUGCACACC